rnacentral:rRNA from 1 species
AGAGUUUGAUCCUGGCUCAGGAUGAACGCUAGCGGCAGGCCUAACACAUGCAAGUCGAGGGGUAAGGCACUUUCGGGUGUACACGACCGGCGCACGGGUGAGUAACGCGUAUGCAACCUUCCUGUAACUGGGGCAUAGCUCAGAGAAAUCUGAAUUAAUACCCCAUAAUAUCCAUUUUUCGCAUGAUUUUUGGAUUAAAGCUCCGGCGGUUACAGAUGGGCAUGCGUAGCAUUAGCUUGUUGGUGAGGUAACGGCUCACCAAGGCUACGAUGUUUAGGGGGUCUGAGAGGAUGAUCCCCCACACUGGUACUGAGACACGGACCAGACUCCUACGGGAGGCAGCAGUGAGGAAUAUUGGUCAAUGGGCGCAAGCCUGAACCAGCCAUGCCGCGUGCAGGAUGACGGCCCUACGGGUUGUAAACUGCUUUUAUAUAGGAAGAACUCCCCGAUCGUGAUCGGGGCUGACUGUACUAUAAGAAUAAGGAUCGGCUAACUCCGUGCCAGCAGCCGCGGUAAUACGGAGGAUCCAAGCGUUAUCCGGAUUUAUUGGGUUUAAAGGGUACGUAGGCGGAACAAUUAGUCAGUGGUGAAAUCUUUCGGCUUAACCGGAAACUUGCCAUUGAUACUGUUGUUCUUGAGUUCAGUUGAGGUGGGCGGAAUGUGUUAUGUAGCGGUGAAAUGCUUAGAUAUGACACAGAACACCGAUUGCGAAGGCAGCUCACUAAACUGUUACUGACGCUAAGGUACGAAAGCGUGGGGAGCGAACAGGAUUAGAUACCCUGGUAGUCCACGCCGUAAACGAUGAUUACUCGUUGUGUGCGAUACAUUGUACGCGACUGAGCGAAAGCAUUAAGUAAUCCACCUGGGGAGUACGAUCGCAAGAUUGAAACUCAAAGGAAUUGACGGGGGCCCGCACAAGCGGAGGAACAUGUGGUUUAAUUCGAUGAUACGCGAGGAACCUUACCUGGGCUUAAAUGCAAACUGACUUUUCUGGAAACAGAUUUUCCCUUCGGGGCAGUUUGUAAGGUGCUGCAUGGUUGUCGUCAGCUCGUGCCGUGAGGUGUCGGGUUAAGUCCCAUAACGAGCGCAACCCCUAUCAUUAGUUGCCAACGGGUAAUGCCGGGGACUCUAAUGAGACUGCCAGUGUAAACUGUGAGGAAGGUGGGGAUGACGUCAAAUCAGCACGGCCCUUAUGUCCAGGGCUACACACGUGUUACAAUGGCCAGUACAAUGGGCAGCUACCUGGUGACAGGAUGCUAAUCUCAAAAGCUGGUCUUAGUUCGGAUCGAAGUCUGCAACUCGACUUCGUGAAGUUGGAUUCGCUAGUAAUCGUAUAUCAGCAAUGAUACGGUGAAUACGUUCCCGGGCCUUGUACACACCGCCCGUCAAGCCAUGGAAGCUGGGAGUGCCUGAAGUCUGUAACCGCAAGGAGCGGCCUAGGGUAAAACUAGUGACUGGGGCUAAGUCGAAACAAGGUA